UGGCUCCCGCAUCGAUGAAGAACGCAGCGAAAUGCGAUAAGUAAUGUGAAUUGCAGAACUCAGUGAAUCAUCGAAUCUUUGAACGCACCUUGCACUCCAUGGUAUUCCGUGGAGUAUGUCUGUCUGAGUGUCAUGAAACUCUCAACCCUUUGCCUUUGCUUCUGUCUUUGGCACUGUGGCUUGGAUCAUGAGUGCCUGCUGGACCUUUGCAUCAGCCCACUCGAAAUAUAUCAGUGGUCUGCUUGCCUUUUGCAGCUGCACUUGGACCUAGCGUAAUAGGUUUUAUUCGCUGGAGCUUGGUGCAGACUGCUGGUGUUGCACUCAGCUGCCAAUUAAAUACCAUCAGUGUUAGACCUCAGAUCAGGCAGGACUACCCGCUGA
rnacentral:misc_RNA from 1 species